rnacentral:rRNA from 1 species
UACGUAGGGGGCAAGCGUUGUCCGGAAUCAUUGGGCGUAAAGAGCGUGUAGGCGGCCAGAAAAGUCCGCUGUGAAAACUCGAGGCUCAACUUCGAGCUGUCGGUGGAAACUUUCUGGCUAGAGUCCGGAAGAGGAGAAUGGAAUUCCUGGUGUAGCGGUGAAAUGCGCAGAUAUCGGGAGGAACACCAGUGGCGAAGGCGGGUCUCUGGGCCGAUACUGACGCUGAGGAGCGAAAGCGUGGGGAGCGAACAGG